CAGUCGCCGCGGGAAAACGUAGGUGGCAAGCGUUGUCCGGAAUUAUUGGGCGUAAAGGGCUCGCAGGCGGUUUCUUAAGUCUGAUGUGAAAGCCCCCGGCUCAACCGGGGAGGGUCAUUGGAAACUGGGAAACUUGGGUGCAGAAGAGGAGAGUGGAAUUCCACGUGUAGCGGUGAAAUGCGUAGAGAUGUGGAGGAACACCAGUGGCGAAGGCGACUCUCUGGUCUGUAACUGACGCUGAGGAGCGAAAGCGUGGGGAGCGAACAGGAUUAGAUACCCCUGUAGUCCCUGUCUCUUAUAC
rnacentral:rRNA from 1 species